GAUGGGCAGAAUAACAGUAUAUUUGCAUGCUGACGGGAUAUCUAACAGAAAGAGACAAAAGGAACCUAUUUCAGUUUAUAUUGAAGAGAAGGAUGAUGAUGAAGACUGGAUUAUAGCUUCGCUUGCAUAAAUGUGGUGGGACACCAAGGCCACCGUGUCUUUAUUUAUAAAAUGUCUUGCCAAUAGUAGAUUUUUGUUAUGCAAGAAAAAUCUCAAGGUGUAAAAGCUAGGACACUUUGAAAACAUGAAUUCUCCAUUUAGCAAAAUUCUUUUUUUUUUUUUUUUGAGACGGAGUCUUGCUCUUUCGCCCAGGCUGGAGUGCAGUGGCGUGAUCUCGGCUCACUGCAAGCUCCGCCUCCCGGGUUCACGCCAUUCUCCUGCCUCAGCCUCCCGAGUAGCUGGGACUACAGGCGCCUGCCACCAAGCCCGGCUAAUUUUUUCUUUUUUUCUUUUCUUUUCUUUUUUGUAUUUUUAGUAGAGACGGGGUUUCACCAUGUUAGCCAGGAUGGUCUCCAUCUCCUGACCUCGUGAUCCGCCCGCCUUGGCCUCCCAAAGUGCUGGGAUUACAAGCUUGAGCCACCGCGCCCGGCCAGCAAAAUUCUUUUACUUAAGAUCCUAUAAAGUUGGAGAGACUUCAGUUCAGCCAUGUGCACUGGAGAUGCUCAAGCUGGUUUUUGCACUGGAAUAGAGGAGAAAUCUAGAAGAGGUGCUUUUGUCCAGUAUGUUCAUACAUUGUAGAAUUAUUGAAAUAUCUUAACAUUAAAAUGAGCCAUCAAAGGAUUGAUGUUCUCACCAUUGCCCUUCAGUAUUGCACCUGGCAAAAUUCUGAUUUUGUGAGUCUCUUUUGGAAACUAACCAGGCUGGUGACAUUUUGGGAAAGACAUACAAUAGGAAUAAAGGCUGUUUUUACAAUCCUGAGAGAAGCUUUGUCACCAAUCAUAGAAGUCAUCGACAUUAUUUAAAGUACCCCCUGAAUUGUCGCAUGUUUUAAAAAUGAUCAAGAAAUAGGGCAACCAAAAUAUAAAGUACAUUUUAUCAAAUAAAAGUUCACUGAUUUCCAAGGGA
rnacentral:lncRNA from 10 species